rnacentral:rRNA from 1 species
GACGAACGCUGGCGGCGUGCUUAACACAUGCAAGUCGAACGGAAAGGCCCUGCUCUUGCGGGGUGCUUGAGUGGCGAACGGGUGAGUAACACGUGAGUAACCUGCCCUUGACUUUGGGAUAACUUCAGGAAACUGGGGCUAAUAUCGGAUAGGAGCUCCUGCUGCAUGGUGGGGGUUGGAGAGAUUCGGCGGUUGGGGAUGGACUCGCGGCUUAUCAGCUUGUUGGUGGGGUAGUGGAUUACCAAGGGUUUGACGGGUAGCCGGCCUGAGAGGGUGAACGGCCACAAUGGGACUGAGAGACGGCCCAGAAUCCUACGUGAGGCAGCAGUGGGGAAUAUUGCGCAGUGGGCGGAAGCCUGAUGCAGCAACGCCGCGUGCGGGAUGACGGCCUUCGAGUUGUAAACCGCUUUCGCCUGUGACGAAGCGUGAGUGACGGUAAUGGGUAAAGAAGCACCGGCUAACUACGUG